CUCAGGGGUGAACGUUGGGUGCGGUCCUGCGGAGGAGAGAGUCUUGCUCACGGGCCUGCAUGCUGUAGCAGAUAUUUACUGUGAGAACUGCAAGACCACCCUGGGCUGGAAAUAUGAACAUGCCUUUGAGAGCAGCCAGAAAUACAAAGAGGGAAAGUUCAUCAUCGAGUUGGCCCACAUGAUCAAGGACAACGGCUGGGACUGAUGCCGACCGGGUGACGCGCGCAUGGAUGGACAAAUAAAUAGAAACUGAAGGGAAGGGGCAAGGGUUGGGGUCUUAUGUGUGGCGGGUUAGUGUGUGACUUGGGUUUGGCUGAUCUACCAUUAACCUCUGUAACUCUCUGCCCAUUCCCUCCCUUUUGACCACACCUGUCUGGAUGUAUACACUCUAUUAACAAAACCACGCAGACAUCCCAGCUUGAGAGACCUGACGCAGCUAAGCAAAUGUGUAGUCAUAGCAAAUGGGGUUACGCUGAGUAUAUACAGUGUGGUGUGCUCUUUGAAAAAAAAAAACAUUAGAUUUUUACUGACAGGUUAAAGAUCUGAUGGGGAUUGCGCUUGUCCCUGCUGUGAAUGAGAUGACCUAGGGGUGAUUAGUGCAAAAAUCCAGUUGAUGGAAGGGGGGGGGGGGGGGGGGUGCCAGCUGUGCCAGCGAUGAAACCUGGUAUUCGGAGGGCAGGACUUGGCACGGUUGCUAUAGGCACAGAGCAGCGGUACCAGUGGUAGAGGGUGGAUUUCAACAUGGUGGCUUGAUCUCUCUGUCCCUUUAAGCUUUGAUAGCUUCCUGGCCCGCUCCGGCUCAGAUGUAGCGGUUUCAAACUGGGCGGGGGUAGUGAAAGAGAUACACCAUGCGCUCGGCCCUUUCCAAAACCACUCAGUGUAGGGUCAGGAGCACCAGGAGCGUCAGGAGCGACAGGAGCAGACGUGGAGCGGCCUCCCUCAGAGUUGUAUUCAUCCGCGUGGUGUUAUGCGAUACUAGGAUCACGAGCUGCAUGUCGGCUGUCUGCGUUGUGUUACUUAAGCAGGUAGAAUUACACAACAGGAGCGUGUCUCAGGUGAACAGCGCUGUCAGCACCUUCGCAGUGUGAGCGAGCACAGGUGUGAUCACUCAGUACGUUUACAUGCAGGGAGGAAAUUCAAAUUAUUGCACAGGACUAUGGGAAAAACUGUAAUAAACACAAUGACAACUGAAGUAUUUGGUUGGUUAUUGGCCUAUGUUUACAAAGAAGUACUCAAAGCAUAUCCCAGAGUCAGAGAGUGGUACUGAUGUGUAGAGUAAUAAGACACUUUUCAAUUACUCUGCAAACUUGGUCUCAAAUGUAGUUAAAUUUAAGCUGUUGUCGAUAAUAUUGCUUAAAUGUGCUUGCAGAAGGCACAAGUAACAUGUUGCAUUUGUCUGCUAAAUGUUGAUAUUUAUAAAUUAAUCGAGUGCGGGCGCUCUAAUCUAAUUAUGGAUAGCGUUAGCUUGUUUUCUACUUUUUAACAAAGGCUACAUACUGUUAAUAGGCAUCACAUGUUAGCAGCAUUAGCCCUAACAAGAUCAAGACUGAAGGCACACAGUAGUUUGAUUAGUUCCUGUGCGAAAUGACAAAUACGGUAAGAGGGCAUAGUGUAACAUCUCAUGCAUGUAAACGUACUGGACAGAGAAUGCUUGACUAGCUAAAGUCAUUCUGGAGGAGAUUGCAUUUAUAAUUACAAACAGAAAAGAUAUGGGCUCUUUCAGUCUGGGAUGGCUGCUCUAACCGGCUGUAACUACCACAUCCGCAAAACCUACUGGGCAAGAUUAAGAGCAAUGUACUUUGUUUUAUUUUUGUAUUGAGGCUGGGACUUGGCAGAUUUCCUGAUGGAUAUGUAUCAUGCAGUGGUUAAAUGCAGUCACAUCAUUAUUUCUGGGGUACAACAUGCAUGCUAAUAGUGCUCUGGACUGGAUUUUUCUUGAUCACAGUUACAUUUGUUUUGGUGUGCUGUUCUAUAGUGACCACACGCUACAUGUAAAUGGAACACAGACCUGAGGUUGGAUCAGCGGGGUCCCCUUGCAGCAGGACCACAGCGUUAGUCUGAAUACUCCUGCUUUCUUUGUGUUUCCUGAUGUUGUGAACAUUGCUCUCGAGACGUUGCCCUGUAUUUAUUGAGUCCGGUUCUGAGCUUACCACGGAGACUUGCAUUCUCUAUCGAACUGCUCCAGCACAACCAAAGAACUCACCCGACAACAAUAAAUUGACCAAACAAAAGCUCUCUUUUUGCUUGGGCAAAGUGUUGCAAAACAAGGGGGUGUGUGUAUAGCUGAAAGCCAAGGUUGUGGAUAGCCUUUCUUUGUGAGUAUAUGUAUAAUGCAUUAUGAUUUUGUAAACAACAGAUCUUAAUAUAUGAAUAUAUAUUCAGUUUACUGUAUUCACCAUGAGGAUUACUGUUCUCUUGUCAACCUCUGUGUUACAGAUUGUAAAUAGUGUUAUUGUACUGUGUUUUAUUAUGAUCUAUAUGAUCUUGAAUGAAUAUGAUUUCGGUCAUGUCAUGCUUUCUCUCCGGUAUCCCACAUCGGCUGUACAAUAACUACUUUUUUACUGAAAUGUUACAAUUUUAAUGUCUUUUGUAAGGGAGGAUGCUGAUGUUGACUAUGUAUCAUUGGAUCUUCAUCUAAUAAAAGGCAUCUUGGUAUCCAUACUGAA